rnacentral:tRNA from 1 species
GAGCUUUAGAUUGAUAAGAUUCAUAAUCUUAUUUAUAAUUAAAGGGUAUAUAGCUCA